CCCUUACCGGUACCUUGGUACCACCCUUAGAGUUUGAUCCUGGCUCAGAACGAACGCUGGCGGCGUGGAUUAGGCAUACAAGUCGAGCGAGAACCGUAGUGCUAGCAAUAGUACUUGGGGACAGCGGCGAAAGGGUGAGUAAUAAGUAGUCAAUCUACCCAAUUGACCGGGAUAACGUCGGGAAACUGGCAGUAAUACCGGAUAGUCUUAAGAAUUCGCAUGUUUUCUUAAGUAAAUGGUGGCCUCCUAUAGAAGCUUCCGCAGUUGGAGGGGACUACUUCCUAUUAGUUUGUUAGUGGGGUAAUGGCCUACCAAGACAAUGAUGGGUAGCCGACUUUAGCGAGUGACCGGCCACACUGGGACUGAGACACUGCCCAGACUCUUACGGGAGGCUGCAGUCGAGAAUCUUCUGCAAUGAACGCAAGUUCGACAGAGCGACGCCGCGUGUAGGAUUGAAGGCCCUUGGGUUGUAAACUACUGUUACAGGUUAAGAAAUAUCAGGUUAUUAAUAGUAGCUUGGUUUGACAAAGGCCUGGGAGAAAGCCACGGCUAACUUCGUGCCAGCAGCCGCGGUAAGACGAAGGUGGCAAGCGUUGUUCGGAAUUACUGGGCAUAAAGCGCGUGUAGGCGGUCGAUUAAGUCUGAUGUGAAAGCCCUCGGCCCAACCGGGGAAUGGCGUCUGAUACUGAUUGACUUGAGAGUUGGAGGGGUGCACGGAAUACCUGGUGGAGCGGUGAAAUGCGUUGAUAUCAGGUGGAACACCAAAGGCGAAGGCAGU
rnacentral:rRNA from 1 species